rnacentral:tRNA from 1 species
GCCUCGAUAGCUCAGUGGUAGAGCGUUCCACUCGUACUCGAUCAUGUCCGCACGGAUUCAUGGAAAGGUCUGGUGUUCAAUCCACCAUCGAGGCA